AAGACUCGCAAGUCCUGCACUUAGACGUAAUGUCUUCAGAAUUUAUAGAUUAACAUUUAAUAGUUUUAUGUCGAGCUUGCGACAUUAAACAAAGCGCUUCGUGGGAGACAACCCACAAAUUUUUAUUUUUAUUUCUUCUUUGAUUAUUCCCUUCUUUUUUAUUUUAUUUAGUUUUCAUUCUCCGUAUUCUUUAUUUUAAUUAAAUUUUUCUUCUUUUCUUCUUUCGGCAUUUGGCC
rnacentral:lncRNA from 1 species